UCGCCUCUCUCUCUCUGGUUUCUUUCAGAUCUGGGAUGAACAGGCAUGCCUAAAGGAUUUAGGCCGCCACUGCAGAAUUACAAGAAAGAGAGUGAGGGGAGCGACGACGACGGUAAGUCCGCCACUGCUGCUGAGGAAGCUGAGGUUCAGAAGUCGUGGAAUUUGAAGCAGAGCAAUCAACUGACGCCAAAGUCGAUGAGGCAGAGAGGUUUGGCUGAAGGUACCUCUCGAUUUAGCUCCAGGACUCCGAGCGCUUCGCAGUCGAGAAUAUAGAAAAGCCGAAGGGUUCUUCUUCCGCAAGUCUUCAACAAGCAAAUCAUGGACAACAUCAGCUUCCCUAAUCCUCACAAGAUGUUUUUGUUGGAAAUCAAGGGUAAGGGUUCCAUAUCCAUUCCAAUGAGGGCGGCCAUAUUUUAAUGCUAGAGAUACUUUUGCAAUUAUGGCUGCUGCUUUUGUUGCCAUAAUUGAGGUAAAAAUUAGAGAGCUGAUUCUUAUUUAGUUUACUGUGUCAUAUAACCCAACUAAUUAUGUUUCAAAGACAAAACUAAUUCCAAUUAUGUUUCGGAUUAUACCAUAUAUGCUACAAUCGUAUAUAUUCUUAGAAGUAUACAUUGUAUAUACUAUAUAUUUAAUAUAGAGAUUGGGAUUACUAUAGCUAUUUUUACAAAUCUGGAUGGAGAUUCUAGAGGUGGAGCAGCUUUAAGUGUUAAAAGGUUUGUUUGUUGCCUUACUUUUCAUUCAAAGUAAUCUCAUUCAUUCUUCUGCCCCAUUUAGUUGCAUUAUGUAUUCAUCCCAUGAUUUCAUUUCAUAAGUAUGAGGCCCAAAAAAUAUAGCGACCAGCAAGCUGUGUAUAUUAGAAGAAGCAAUCUGAACUAAUUGAAGCUGCUUAUUAAGAUUUGGUCAACAACCUUGGUACCAUUGCAAGGUCUGGCAUCAAGGACUUCAUGAAAGCCUUGGCUGCCGGAGUUGAUGUUAGCUUGAUGGUCAGUUUGGUGUUGGGUUCGACUCUUACAUAUCUUGUUGCUAAGAAGGAAGAGGAUGUUUAUCAAGAGAAGGAAGUGGACAAGUACACUAUGUUUUUGGCCUUGAUGUUCUUGGCCUUUAUGUUUAGGCAGGGUUUGUAUGUUGAUGUUGGGAACUUGGGAUGAUGAUCUAUAGAAUGAAUUGGUUUUGGAUGUUUAA